CACAAGAACCAUCUGAUGAUGGGUAAAAGUAAAGAGCUCUCUCACAACCUUUGAACUCACCAGGAUGUUUGGUCUCCUGCAGAGUUUGUGAUGAAGACGAGGUGAAUUUUSUUCUAUGAAAAGGAAUCAAACAGGAGCUGCUGUGACCCCCUGACCUGAUCAGUCGACUGAAAUCUGGUUUACAGGAGUUUUCUCUGCYUGUUUCAUUUUCUUCCAAACCCUGGGAGACCUGAUUCAGUUCUUCCCACCCAGUGUUURCACUGAGCUGAUCCAGAUGUGGGCACAUUCCAGUGAAUCAGGAGAAAGACAGGAUUUACCUCUGAUCCCUGACCUGCUGACAGAAACUGCUGCUGCUGUGGGAAAGAAGGAGCAGCUUCCAGAAACAGAUCAUCAGGUGGAACUCAUUCAGUGAUUCAGCUUCCUGUCGGAGGGUUUGUUUGAUUUAAAUGGUUCUGUUGGGAUGUUUCACCUUUUCUACAGAUCUGAACAAAUCCAGUCCUGCUGGGAGAAAGUUUCUGAUCAAAGCUCUGGUUUUACUGAAAUGUUGAGUCCCUGCUCCAGCAGGAGGGAGUCACAGCAGUUUCUGAGAUCUGCAGAACCUGAUCCUCUGUGUGUGGGGGGGUGGGGGGUCAGCCAUGCUGUCUGCAUGACUCAGGAUCUGUUCUCGUUAAGUCCUGGGUGGUUCUGAAACMGUUUCUCCUGACAGAAUCACACCGUCCACCCUGAUGGACCUGAUCAUAACCAGGAAGUGACAUCAUCAUCACUUCCUGUAGCCAACCCUGAACACAAUAACAAGACUUUAGGAUCCAGACUCAGAGUUUUCCUUUAACAUCUUUAUGAAUCAAACAUUUAUYAUUAUUAUCACUCAGUUUUUAUUGACUUUAAAACAACUUUAAGACUGUUUWACUGUGAAUCUGUUUACAUCUGAAGGAAAGUAUGAGUUCUGAUCCUCUGAGGCUCGGUUCUGGGUGGGAUCUGGAUCCUUGAAGUGGAUCUUCAAUCUGCAGCUGGGCUUAAAGAAAAAGGAGGGUCCAGUCCUGGUCCUGGACCUGGUGGAAGCAGAAGCAGAACCCCUCACAGAGUCAUCAGCUGAAGGAAAAACUCCUUCCUURAAGGAAAGUCUGCAGUGAACGUGACCCAGAACCAAAGAUCCACUUCAGUCCUCAGCUCCAACACCAACCAGAGCAGACCCAGAUCCAGGAUCAGGUUCAGGUCUUAGCUAAACGUUUCCCUGAAACCUGAUGAUCUAAAAACUUUUCAGAGCCUGAUGGGUCGACUCUGAAACACCAGGUCCAUCUCUGCAGGACAGCCCACAGGAAGGUUCUGGACCAUGCUGGUUCUGGUGGAACUGGUUCUGAGGGACGCCUUGAGAACCAGCUUGUGGACCCGGGUGGAUCAGGACUGCAGGACUUGGCACGGCGUGGUCCUGUGAGGAUGACUGUUCUCCCAUGUGGGCUCGGAGCAGCGAGGCCACCAACAGCUCGCCAAUUUGCUGACAUCAUCUUUUAAAUAAGCCGAGUCACGAGGAGACAAGCCCCGCCCACAAGCUGAACUUAGCUCUGAAUCACUGCAGCCCCUCCAGAACCUGACCUCCUUUUUCCACUGCAGGAUGCUUCAUCUUCAUCAUCUUCUUCUUCUUCAUCGUCACCAUCACCUUCAUCAUCAUUAUAAUCAUCUUCA